GACGAACGCUGGCGGCGUGCUUAACACAUGCAAGUCGAGCGGAAAGGCCCUUCGGGGUACUCGAGCGGCGAACGGGUGAGUAACACGUGAGUAACCUGCCCCAGACUUUGGGAUAACCCUCGGAAAUGGGGGCUAAUACCGGAUACGACACAGCUUCGCAUGGGGUCUGUGUGGAAAGUUUUUCGGUUUGGGAUGGGCUCGCGGCCUAUCAGCUUGUUGGUGGGGUGAUGGCCUACCAAGGCGACGACGGGUAGCCGGCCUGGGAGGGCGACCGGCCACACUGGGACUGAGACACGGCCCAGACUCCUACGGGAGGCAGCAGUGGGGAAUAUUGCACAAUGGGCGGAAGCCUGAUGCAGCGACGCCGCGUGAGGGAUGACGGCCUUCGGGUUGUAAACCUCUUUCAGCAGGGACGAAGCGUAAGUGACGGUACCUGCAGAAGAAGCGCCGGCCAACUACGUG
rnacentral:rRNA from 1 species